UACGGAGGGUGCGAGCGUUGUCCGGAAUCACUGGGCGUAAAGGGCGCGUAGGCGGCGCGGUAAGCGUGCGGUGAAAGUCCGGGGCUCAACCCCGGAUCGGCCGUGCGGACUGCCGGGCUCGAGCACUGUAGGGGCGGGUGGAACUCCGGGUGUAGCGGUGGAAUGCGUAGAGAUCCGGAAGAACACCGGUGGCGAAGGCGGCCCGCUGGGACGGUACUGACGCUGAGACGCGAAAGCGUGGGGAGCAAACAGG
rnacentral:rRNA from 1 species